CAUCGACCAACCGGACGAUGACAACAAUCAUGAUGGCGUAGCAGCUGCUCAAAGAAAAAGAAGAGAUGCCGACGAUGCCUCCUCCGAUGCAGUAACUGCCGAAGACUCCGCAGAAAGAAAACGAAGAGAUGCCGAUGAUGCCUCCUCCGAUGCAGCAAAUGCCGAAGAUUCCGCAGAAAGA